UGCCAGCAGCCGCGGUAAUACGAAGGGUGCUAGCGUUGUUCGGAAUUACUGGGCGUAAAGUGACCGUAGCCGGUUAAAUAAGUCUUUUGUGAAAGUUCUGUAGCUUAACUCAGAAUUUGCAAAAGAUACUGUUUAACUUGAGGCCGGGAGGGGUGUGAGGUAUUGAUUGGGUAGCGGUAAAAUGUUAUAAUCCUUUCAAGACCAACUAAGGCGAAGGCAUCACACUUGAACGGACCUGACGGUGAGGGUCGAGAGCUAGGGGAGCGAACCGGAUUAGAUA
rnacentral:rRNA from 1 species